rnacentral:rRNA from 1 species
AUGAACGCUGACAGAAUGCUUAACACAUGCAAGUCUACUUGAUCCUUCGGGUGAUGGUGGCGGACGGGUGAGUAACGCGUAAAGAACUUGCCCUGCAGUCUGGGACAACAUUUGGAAACGAAUGCUAAUACCGGAUAUUAUGUGAGUUUCGCAUGAAAUUCAUAUGAAAGCUAUAUGCGCUGCAGGAGAGCUUUGCGUCCUAUUAGCUAGUUGGUGAGGUAACGGCUCACCAAGGCGAUGAUAGGUAGCCGGCCUGAGAGGGUGAACGGCCACAAGGGGACUGAGACACGGCCCAUACUCCUACGGGAGGCAGCAGUGGGGAAUAUUGGACAAUGGACCAAAAGUCUGAUCCAGCAAUUCUGUGUGCACGAUGAAGUUUUUCGGAAUGUAAAGUGCUUUCAGUUGGGACGAAGUAAGUGACGGUACCAACAGAAGAAGCGACGGCUAAAUACGUGCCAGCAGCCGCGGUAAUACGUAUGUCGCAAGCGUUAUCCGGAUUUAUUGGGCGUAAAGCGCGUCUAGGCGGUUUGGUAAGUCUGAUGUGAAAAUGCGGGGCUCAACUCCGUAUUGCGUUGGAAACUGCCAAACUAGAGUACUGGAGAGGUGGGCGGAACUACAAGUGUAGAGGUGAAAUUCGUAGAUAUUUGUAGGAAUGCCGAUGGGGAAGCCAGCCCACUGGACAGAUACUGACGCUAAAGCGCGAAAGCGUGGGUAGCAAACAGGAUUAGAUACCCUGGUAGUCCACGCCGUAAACGAUGAUUACUAGGUGUUGGUGGGUACGACCCAUCGGUGCCGCAGCAAACGCAAUAAGUAAUCCACCUGGGGAGUACGUUCGCAAGAAUGAAACUCAAAGGAAUUGACGGGGACCC